rnacentral:rRNA from 1 species
AAAAACAUGUCUUUUUGAGAAUAAUUUGAAGUCUGACCUGCCCACUGAAUUAAUGAAUUUGAAGGGCCGCAGUAUAUUGACUGUGCAAAGGUAGCAUAAUCAUUAGUCUUUUAAUUGGGGACUGGUAUGAAUGGUUUAACGAAGUAUUAACUGUCUCAUUUUAAUAAAUUGAAGUUAACUUUUGAGUCAAAAGGCUUAAAUAAAGUUAGAGGACGAGAAGACCCUAUAGAGCUUUAUAAAUUUAAUAUAAAAUAUAAUUUGGAGGUUUUAUUAAUUUGAAUAUAAAAUUUAUUUUAUUGGGGUGAUAUGAAGAUUUAAUAAACUCUUCUUGAAAUCAAACAUUGAUUAAUGAAUAAUUGAUCCAUUUUUAGUGAUUAUAAGAUUAAGUUACCUUAGGGAUAACAGCGUAAUGUUUUUUGAGAGUUCUUAUCAACAAAAAAGAUUGCGACCUCGAUGUUGGAUUAAGGGAAAGGUUGGGUGUAGAAGUUCAAAUAUUUAGGUCUGUUCGACCUUUAAAUCCUUACGUCAUCUG